rnacentral:rRNA from 1 species
CGAGAAGCUUGCUUCUCUGAUGUUAGCGGCGGACGGGUGAGUAACACGUGGAUAACCUACCUAUAAGACUGGGAUAACUUCGGGAAACCGGAGCUAAUACCGGAUAAUAUUUUGAACCGCAUGGUUCAAAAGUGAAAGACGGUCUUGCUGUCACUUAUAGAUGGAUCCGCGCUGCAUUAGCUAGUUGAUAAGGUAACGGCUUACCAAGGCAACGAUGCAUAGCCGACCUGAGAGGGUGAUCGGCCACACUGGAACUGAGACACGGUCCAGACUCCUACGGGAGGCAGCAGUAGGGAAUCUUCCGCAAUGGGCGAAAGCCUGACGGAGCAACGCCGCGUGAGUGAUGAAGGUCUUCGGAUCGUAAAACUCUGUUAUUAGGGAAGAACAUAUGUGUAAGUAACUGUGCACAUCUUGACGUACCUAAUCAGAAAGCCACG